rnacentral:rRNA from 1 species
UACGAAGGGGGCUAGCGUUGCUCGGAAUCACUGGGCGUAAAGCGCACGUAGGCGGAUUGUUAAGUCAGGGGUGAAAUCCUGGAGCUCAACUCCAGAACUGCCUUUGAUACUGGCGAUCUUGAGUCCGGGAGAGGUGAGUGGAAUUCCUAGUGUAGAGGUGAAAUUCGUAGAUAUUAGGAAGAACACCAGUGGCGAAGGCGGCUCACUGGCCCGGUACUGACGCUGAGGCGCGAAAGCGUGGGGAGCAAACAGG